ensembl:snRNA LOC120101391 U1 spliceosomal RNA
AUACUUACCCAGGAGGGAAGAUACCAUAAUCAAGAAGGUAUUUUUUCCCAGGCUUAUCCACUGCAUUUCAGAUGUUUUGGCCCUUGUGACUUCCCCCAAAUGAGGGAAAAUGCAUAAUUUGUGGUAGUGGGCAAUCGUGUUCAAGCCUUCCCC